rnacentral:rRNA from 1 species
UAAGGAAUAUUGGUCAAUGGACGCAAGUCUGAACCAGCCAUGCCGCGUGAAGGAUGAAGGUCCUCUGGAUUGUAAACUUCUUUUAUAUGGGACGAAACCCUCGGAUUCCAACGGGAUUGACGGUACCAUAAGAAUAAGCACCGGCUAACUCCGUGCCAGCAGCCGCGGUAAUACGGAGGGUGCAAGCGUUAUCCGGAUUCACUGGGUUUAAAGGGUGCGUAGGAGGGCAGGUAAGUCAGUGGUGAAAUCCCCGAGCUUAACUCGGAAACUGCCGUUGAUACUAUCUGUCUUGAAUACCGUGGAGAUGAGCGGAAUAUGUCAUGUAGCGGUGAAAUGCUUAGAUAUGACAUAGAACACCAAUUGCGAAGGCAGCUCGCUACACGAAUAUUGACUCUGAGGCACGAAAGCGUGGGGAUCAAACAGGAUUAGAUACCCGCGUAGUCC